AGAGUUUGAUCCUGGCUCAGGAUGAACGCUGGCGGCGUGCCUAAUACAUGCAAGUCGAGCGGACUUGAUGGGAGCUUGCUCCCUGAUAGUCAGCGGCGGACGGGUGAGUAACACGUGGGCAACCUACCUUUAAGACUGGGAUAACUUCGGGAAACCGGAGCUAAUACCGGAUAACAUGUAAGACCACAUGGUCUUACAUUAAAAGAUGGCUUCGGCUAUCACUUAUAGAUGGGCCCGCGGCGCAUUAGUUAGUUGGUGAGGUAAUGGCUCACCAAGGCGACGAUGCGUAGCCGACCUGAGAGGGUGAUCGGCCACACUGGGACUGAGACACGGCCCAGACUCCUACGGGAGGCAGCAGUAGGGAAUCUUCCGCAAUGGACGAAAGUCUGACGGAGCAACGCCGCGCGAACGAUGAAGGCUUUCGGGUCGUAAAGUUCUGUUGUUAGGGAAGAACAAGUUGGAGAGUAACUGCUCCAGCCUUGACGGUAUCUGACCAGAAAGCCACGGCUAACUACGUGCCAGCAGCCGCGGUAAUACGUAGGUGGCAGGCGUUGUCCGGGAUUUAUUGGGCGUAAAGCGAGCGCAGGCGGUUCCUUAAGUCUGAUGUGAAAGCCCACGGCUCAACCGUGGAAGGUCAUUGGAAACUGGGGAACUUGAGUGCAGAAGAGGAGAGUGGAAUUCCAUGUGUAGCGGUGAAAUGCGCAGAUAUCAGGAGGAACACCGAUGGCGAAGGCAGGUCACUGGGCCACUACUGACGCUGAGGAGCGAAAGCAUGGGGAGCGAACAGGAUUAGAUACCCUGGUAGUCCAUGCCGUAAACGUUGGGCACUAGGUGUGGGGCUCAUUCCACGAGUUCCGCGCCGCAGCUAACGCAUUAAGUGCCCCGCCUGGGGAGUACGGCCGCAAGGCUAAAACUCAAAGGAAUUGACGGGGGCCCGCACAAGCGGCGGAGCAUGCGGAUUAAUUCGAUGCAACGCGAAGAACCUUACCAAGGCUUGACAUACACCGGAAUCAUGCAGAGAUGUGUGCGUCUUCGGACUGGUGUACAGGUGGUGCAUGGUUGUCGUCAGCUCGUGUCGUGAGAUGUUGGGUUAAGUCCCGCAACGAGCGCAACCCUCGUCCUAUGUUGCCAGCACGUCAUGGUGGGGACUCAUAGGAGACUGCCGGGGUCAACUCGGAGGAAGGUGGGGAUGACGUCAAAUCAUCAUGCCCCUUAUGUCUUGGGCUUCACGCAUGCUACAAUGGCCGGUACAAAGGGCUGCGAUACCGCGAGGUGGAGCGAAUCCCAAAAAGCCGGUCUCAGUUCGGAUUGGGGUCUGCAACUCGACCCCAUGAAGUCGGAGUCGCUAGUAAUCGCAGAUCAGCAACGCUGCGGUGAAUACGUUCCCGGGCCUUGUACACACCGCCCGUCAAGUCACGAAAGUCGGUAACACCCGAAGCCAGUGGCCCAACUCGCAAGAGAGGGAGCUGUCGAAGGUGGGACCAGCGAUUGGGACUAAGUCGUAACAAGGUAACCGUA
rnacentral:rRNA from 1 species